rnacentral:rRNA from 1 species
AGUCGAACGAUGAACCUCCUUCGGGAGGGGAUUAGUGGCGAACGGGUGAGUAACACGUGGGCAAUCUGCCCUGCACUCUGGGACAAGCCCUGGAAACGGGGUCUAAUACCGGAUACUGACCCGCUUGGGCAUCCAAGCGGUUCGAAAGCUCCGGCGGUGCAGGAUGAGCCCGCGGCCUAUCAGCUUGUUGGUGAGGUAAUGGCUCACCAAGGCGACGACGGGUAGCCGGCCUGAGAGGGCGACCGGCCACACUGGGACUGAGACACGGCCCAGACUCAUACGGGAGGCAGCAGUGGGGAAUAUUGCACAAUGGGCGAAAGCCUGAUGCAGCGACGCCGCGUGAGGGAUGACGGCCUUCGGGUUGUAAACCUCUUUCAGCAGGGAAGAAGCGAAAGUGACGGUACCUGCAGAAGAAGCGCCGGCUAACUACGUGCCAGCAGCCGCGGUAAUACGUAGGGCGCGAGCGUUGUCCGGAAUUAUUGGGCGUAAAGAGCUCGUAGGCGGCUUGUCACGUCGGUUGUGAAAGCCCGGGGCUUAACCCCGGGUCUGCAGUCGAUACGGGCAGGCUAGAGUUCGGUAGGGGAGAUCGGAAUUCCUGGUGUAGCGGUGAAAUGCGCAGAUAUCAGGAGGAACACCGGUGGCGAAGGCGGAUCUCUGGGCCGAUACUGACGCUGAGGAGCGAAAGCGUGGGGAGCGAACAGGAUUAGAUACCCUGGUAGUCCACGCCGUAAACGGUGGGCACUAGGUGUGGGCGACAUUCCACGUCGUCCGUGCCGCAGCUAACGCAUUAAGUGCCCCGCCUGGGGAGUAC